AGGUGGAAUUUUGUUCUGGAAUGUCAUAGCUAUAAAUUACACAUGGUAAAAUCCUUAUGAAAAUAUUGCAAAAACCUGUUGUGUUUUUGAAAAUCUUAAAUAUGUGAUUGAAAUAUGCUCUCACACCACUCUUAUUAGUCUACAAUUUAAUUCUCUUGUCAAUUAUCACAUUGUUGAUUCUCUCUGUGGAAAUCUAAUAAUCUUCCAGACUCGGAUCUGUGCUUCUUCAAACCACAUUGAGGAUUUUUAACAUUCUUUUUCCU